UAUCUGGUUGAUUCUGCCAGUAGUCAUAUGCUUGUCUCAAAGAUUAAGCCAUGCAUGUCUAAGUAUAAGCAAUCUAUACUGUGAAACUGCGAAUGGCUCAUUAAAUCAGUUAUCGUUUAUUUGAUAGUACCUUACUACAUGGAUACCUGUGGUAAUUCUAGAGCUAAUACAUGCUAAAAACCCCGACUUCGGGAGGGGUGUAUUUAUUAGAUAAAAAACCAAUGCCCCUCGGGGCUCCUUGGUGAUUCAUAAUAACUUAACGAAUCGCAUGGCCUUGCGCCGGCGAUGGUUCAUUCAAAUUUCUGCCCUAUCAACUUUCGAUGGUAGGAUAGUGGCCUACCAUGGUGGCAACGGGUAACGGGGAAUUAGGGUUCGAUUCCGGAGAGGGAGCCUGAGAAACGGCUACCACAUCCAAGGAAGGCAGCAGGCGCGCAAAUUACCCAAUCCCGACACGGGGAGGUAGUGACAAUAAAUACUGAUACGGGGCUCUUUUGGGUCUCGUAAUUGGAAUGAGUACAAUCUAAACCCCUUAACGAGGAACAAUUGGAGGGCAAGUCUGGUGCCAGCAGCCGCGGUAAUUCCAGCUCCAAUAGCGUAUAUUAAAGUUGUUGCAGUUAAAAAGCUCGUAGUUGAACCUUGGGUCUGGCUGGCCGGUCCGCCUCACCGCGAGUACUGGUCCGGCUGGACCUUUCCUUCUGGGGAAGCCCAUGGCCUUCACUGGCUGUGGGGGGAACCAGGA
rnacentral:ncRNA from 1 species